GUGCCAGCAGCCGCGGUAAGACAGAGGGUGCAAACGUUGUUCGGAAUUACUGGGCGUAAAGCGCGUGUAGGCCGCUUGGAUAGUCGGAUGUGAAAGCCCUGGGCUCAACCUAGGAAGUGCAUUCGAAACUUCCAAGCUGGAGUGCUGGAGAGGAAAGCGGAAUUCUCGGUGUAGAGGUGAAAUUCGUAGAUAUCGAGAGGAACACCGGUGGCGAAGGCGGCUUUCUGGACAGUCACUGACGCUGAGACGCGAAAGCGUGGGGAGCAAACAGGAUUAGAUACCCUCGUAGUCC
rnacentral:rRNA from 1 species